UACAGAGGGGGCAAGCGUUGUUCGGAAUUACUGGGCGUAAAGGGCGCGUAGGCGGCCCGCUAAGUCGAACGUGAAAUCCCCGAGCUCAACUCGGGAACUGCGUCCGAUACUGGCGGGCUUGAAUCCGGGAGAGGGAUGCGGAAUUCCCGGUGUAGCAGUGAAAUGCGUAGAGAUCGGGAGGAACAUCUGUGGCGAAGGCGGCCAUCUGGACCAGCACUGACACUGAGGCACGAAAGCGUGGGGAGCAAACAGG
rnacentral:rRNA from 1 species